UGAAUCUGUACUCCACAAUUCAUAACUGCUUUCACGAGCUCCUCCUUACUCUUCCUUGGUUUUUUUCGUAAGUUCCGUAGUUUUUCAGAAGUCUGAGCUGAUGGAGCAGUAUCCAAGGUCACUUAAAAAAAAAACA